UACGUAGGGGGCAAGCGUUGUCCGGAUUUAUUGGGCGUAAAGAGCGUGUAGGCGGCCAAGCAGGUCAGCUGUGAAACUCGAGGCUCAACCUCGAGACGUCGGUUGAAACCGCUUGGCUAGAGUCCGGAAGAGGAGAGUGGAAUUCCCGGUGUAGCGGUGAAAUGCGCAGAUAUCGGGAAGAACACCCGUGGCGAAGGCGGCUCUCGUGGGACGGUACUGACGCUGAGACGCGAAAGCGUGGGGAGCGAACAGG
rnacentral:rRNA from 1 species